UACGUAGGUGGCAAGCGUUGUCCGGAUUUAUUGGGCGUAAAGCGCGCGCAGGUGGUUCGUUGCGUCCGAGGUGAAAUCUCCCGGCUCAACUGGGAGGGGUCUUCGGAUACGGGCGGACUUGAGGAGAGCAGAGGUAGGCGGAAUGCUGGGUGUAGUGGUGAAAUGCGUAGAUAUCAGGAGGAAUACCGAUGGCGAAGGCAGGUCUCUGGGCUGACACUGACGCUCAUGCACGAAAGCGUGGGGAGCAAACAGG
rnacentral:rRNA from 1 species